AUGGCCUCGCUCGCCUGUGAUGAGUGCCACCUCUCCACCUCUCCCGAGCGCCGCCGCCGAGCUCUUCUCCCCCAGCCCUCCCUCUCCCGAGCGCCGCCGACGAUCACUUCUCCCCCAGCCACUCCAUCUCCCAAGCGCCGCCGCCGAUCUCUUCUCCCCAGCCACUCCAUCUCCCCGAUGGCCGAGCGUUUGCCCGGAAACGAGGCGGCGGCCAACGGCUUCGGCAGCCGUUCGCUCCGCGAACAGGAGUCCUGGCUCCUGUUCCAGGCGAACAUCCCGGCGCCGCCGGACAUGCGCGCCGGGCCGACGGGCUGGAGGCUCAGCAAUGGGGGAGUGCCCAUUCCCCCGUUGCCCGACGCCGUGACCAAACCAUCCUACUUCGCCGAUGAGGUCGAGAUCGUGCGCGCCUCCCUCAACGACGCCGAGCUCUCCCUCCCUCAGUACGCCGCCGACAACCAUGCGGCUUGGGCGGCGUACUUCGAGCGCCGCCAGCAGCAGCGGCUGGCGUCCACCAACGGGGCGCCGGUGGUCGGCGGCGUGAAGAACAGCGAGGGGCGCCACCUGUGCGGCCGCACACUUGAGAACAGCAAGUAUUUUUUGAUUAGUUUUUAUAUGUAA
rnacentral:rRNA from 1 species